AACAAAUUAGUACAAUUUUAAAAAAAUCAAAAAAACAAUUGACCAUGUUCACAAUGCUUUGAGUAUUACGAGCGAAUGGGCACAAAACUCAAAAAAUUCUCAAAAAGUUAAUCAAGUGUAGUAUCCAGUAUUCAAGUAUCAAAAAAAGACUUUGAAUCCUCCGCAAUGAAAAAAUAUGAUCUCUGAUUCAUAUCAUAAUGCAGAGGUGUGCAACCUGCAGCCCGCAAAAAAGUGCCAAUUUUGAAUGAAGUUUUUAAUUGAGCUUAAUCUGGUAUGUCCAUGUGAUUCCAGUCCAAUUGCGAGUUCGUGUUGCAAAGCCUAUACCAGAGUCUAAUUUAUUAUCUAUGCCUAUGACAGGACAAUGCUCUAACACCUAGCUUGUGCGAAGCGAACAAUGCAUGUCAUAGGAUCAAUAACUAAAAUUUUUGUGCCUGCCACUACUAGAACUCUAUGUUGAAAAAGAUGCGGCUCGCGGUUUCACCCAGUUAUUUGUAUCUGACCCUUCUGUAUUAAAAGUUGCACACUCCUGUCAAAAGUGGAAUCCACUGAUAUGCUGGUGGUUGAGGAAAAUAAUCAAAAAUCUACAGACCCCAAAGAAGUUUCACUUUGGAUUCAAAAGCAGUGUUGAGAGAGGCAAGACCUUCCUCUGUGUCUUUGAGUGCUUGUGAUUUAAACGAAUGGAGUCCAAAUUUGACACGAUUAGCAAACCAUGGCUGCAAACCAUCAUUGA